ensembl:misc_RNA Metazoa_SRP Metazoan signal recognition particle RNA
GCCGGGUGCGGUGGUACAUGCCUGUAGUCCCAGCUACUCGGGAGGCUGAGGUUGAAGGAUCGCUUGAGCCCAGGAGUUCUGGGCUGUAGUGCGCUAUGCUGAUCAGGUGUCCGCAUGAAAUUCGGCAUCAAUAUGGCGACCUCCCAGGAGCGGGGGACCACCAGGUUGCCUAAGGAGGGGUGAACGGGCCCAGGUUGGAAAGGGAGCAGGUCAAAACUCCCAUGCUGAUCAGUAGUGGGAUUGCGCCUGUGAAUAGCCACUGCACUCCAGCCUGGGCAACAGAGCGAGACUCUGUCUCU